rnacentral:rRNA from 1 species
UCCGUAGGGGGCAAGCGUUGUUCGGAUUUACUGGGCGUAAAGGGCGCUUAGGCGGCGCGUAAAGUCGGACAUGAAAUCAUUAGGCUCAACCUAAUGGCUGUGUCCGAUACUUACGUGCUUGGAGUGCGGGAGAGGCAGCCGGAAUUCUCGGUGUAGCGGUGAAAUGCGUAGAUAUCGAGAGGAACACCGGUGACGAAGGUGGGUUGCUGGACCGACAUUGACGCUGAGGCGCGAAAGCUAGGGGAGCAAACGGG